rnacentral:rRNA from 1 species
AGAGUUCGAUUCUGGCUCAGAACGAACGCUGGCGGCAGGCCUAACACAUGCAAGUCGAGCGCGCCUUCGGGUGAGCGGCGGACGGGUUAGUAACGCGUGGGAACGUGCCCUUCUCUACGGAAUAGCCUCUGGAAACGGAGAGUAAUACCGUAUACGCCCUUUGGGGGAAAGAUUUAUCGGAGAAGGAUCGGCCCGCGUUAGAUUAGGUAGUUGGUGGGGUAACGGCCUACCAAGCCUACGAUCUAUAGCUGGUUUUAGAGGAUGAUCAGCAACACUGGGACUGAGACACGGCCCAGACUCCUACGGGAGGCAGCAGUGGGGAAUCUUAGACAAUGGGGGCAACCCUGAUCUAGCCAUGCCGCGUGAGUGAUGAAGGCCUUAGGGUCGUAAAGCUCUUUCGCCUGUGAUGAUAAUGACAGUAGCAGGUAAAGAAACCCCGGCUAACUCCGUGCCAGCCGCCGCGGUAAUAC